rnacentral:rRNA from 1 species
AAGCGCUUGUGACCAGACUUGCGCCGGGCGGAUCAUCCGGUGUUCUCACCGGUGCACUCCGCCCGGCUCAGGCCAGCAUCGGUUCUCGUGGGGGGAUAAAGGCUCUGGGAACGUGGCUCCUUCGGGAGUGUUAUAGCCCAGGGUGCAAUGCCCUCGUGGGGACCGAGGUUCGCGCAUCUGCAAGGAUGCUGGCGUAAUGGUCAUCAGCGA